rnacentral:misc_RNA from 1 species
GAGAUUUUUUUUAUUAUAACUCUCUUCAUCCUUCCCCUUCCUUAUCCUUCCAAUAAUUACCCUUCCCUUACCCCAUCCAAACAGAGCUAAGGGUAUUUUAAUAAUUUUUUAUACGAUUAAUCAAAAUUGACUUUGAAUUGUACAGAUUUAAAAUUCAAAGACGAAACUGUUUAUGAAUUUUAAAAAGAUAGAGAAAAAUAUUAAUAGUGAUUAAUUUAAGAAUUAAAAAGUAAUUUAUUUUUGUUUUAUCAAGUUGACAUAAAGUUCAAUUUUCA